CUCGGCUGCCCACCUCAUCUACCUCGUGGGCUUUUUAAUCUGCCGGAAAAAUAGUAACCUCUGUUCUCCUCUUGCUCCUCGCCUCUAUUCGUCUUCCUCUUCAUCAACAUCUCAGCCGACUCCCCUCCUCCCAACGAUUUACGUAGCCGGGCAGCCGGCCUCCCUUCUCCUCAACAGCCGUGGAUUAACGCCUGCUCCUCGCCUUUCACAUCACAGCAAUCAAAACUAGAAACUGCUCAUAAAUCCCAAUAAUCACCAAUAGAAACUGCUCCACCGAAAUUAUACGCCGCCGCCAAAUCGACCUUAAAAAGAAGUCCAUGUUGCCAUACGCUUCACCCGCCAGGCUACUCGUGCCCCUGCUCGCGCAGCCAGCACCGCCGGCGGCCACCACGCUGGUUGACCUCCACCUGGAAAUCCCAUUCACGGUUUCCCCCAAAUCUGAUAUUAUUGGUGCCUCCAAUCUGAUACUUGAAGCCCCCUCGAUUUUUUUUUUGGAUAUUUUGGCAUCUCGCUCUGAUUGCUGAAGCUAGAAGACGCUGGCCAUCAUAUCCUCUACUGUGUGACUCUGCACUAUACAUGUUUCCGUUGGUUAACCUCAGGCUCGCAGAUCCGCCUCAUGUUUUACUCGGAUCGAUUCUGCCUGCUGGUACCACUUUGCCGCCUGGUUUAUUUCAAAGUUUCGCCUUCCCUGAUUGCUCUCUUAGGAUUCAUUGGAGUGGAAAAGGUGAAGAUCUCCCAGCUCAAGAACUUGAAUUUUAUAAUGUCAAACGACCUAAGCAAGAGUAUGUAUGUUUCCUCAUAUCACAUACAUCUCAUUCGCCAUUCUCAUUGGUUUAUCCUCAAACAGCGUAUCAGACAUCAACGUUGCGGCAAACAUCUAAGGAAGGCAGCAGGACAAAAAAUAAAAUAACAUAGGUAUUUCCAUUUCUUAUAGUGCUCUUUCUCUGAUCACAUGCAGUGCAUCAUCAAGGACGCAUGGAACAAUUCAAGAUUGCAAUGACUUCUACCUAAAUUACUUAUGUAGUUGCUUACAUGAAAAGUUGAUGAUCAACGCAUUUACUCGCUUCUAUUGUAAUCCAUAAUAACGCAGUGUAAUCCAUUAUGUGUCUUUAUGGCAAUAGUUUUCUUUUCGGCAUUUUCAGUUUGCUUUAGUACCACGCCAAAUCCUUCAUGUAUUGUUCACGUCACAAACUUUUAUAUCAAUAUUGGUGACAUCAUAUGCAAGUGCAGAAUAUGUGGGGAUUUACAAACUUC